rnacentral:tRNA from 2 species
GCCAAAGUGGUGGAAUUGGUAGACACGUUGGAUUCAAAAUCCAAUGCCUGCAAGGGCGUGUGGGUUCGAGUCCCACCUUUGGUA